GGCCUAGUGGCCUAAUGGAUAAGGCAUCAGCCUUUGAAGCUAAUGGUUGUGGGUUCAAGUCCCACCUGGGUCA